AUUGAACGCUGGCGGCAGGCCUAACACAUGCAAGUCGAGCGGUGGAGAGAAGCUUGCUUCUCUUGAGAGCGGCGGACGGGUGAGUAAUACCUAGGAAUCUGCCUGAUAGUGGGGGAUAACGUUCGGAAACGGACGCUAAUACCGCAUACGUCCUACGGGAGAAAGCAGGGGACCUUCGGGCCUUGCGCUAUAAGAUGAGCCUAGGUCGGAUUAGCUAGUUGGUGAGGUAAUGGCUCACCAAGGCUACGAUCCGUAACUGGUCUGAGAGGAUGAUUAGUCACACUGGAACUGAGACACGGUCCAGACUCCUACGGGAGGCAGCAGUGGGAAUAUUGGACAAUGGGCGAAAGCCUGAUCCAGCCAUGCCGCGUGUGUGAAGAAGGUCUUCGGAUUGUAAAGCACUUUAAGUUGGGAGGAAGGGCAUUAACCUAAUACGUUAAGUGUCUUGACGUUACCGACAGAAUAAGCACCGGCUAACUCU
rnacentral:rRNA from 1 species